rnacentral:tRNA from 1 species
CACUAAGAAGCUAAAGUAAGGUCCUAGCAUUAGCCUUUUAAGCUGAAGAUUGGUGACUCCUAAUCACCCUUAGUGG